rnacentral:rRNA from 1 species
GAUCCUGGCUCAGGACGAACGCUGGCGGCGUGCUUAACACAUGCAAGUCGAACGCUGAAGCCCAGCUUGCUGGGUGGAUGAGUGGCGAACGGGUGAGUAACACGUGAGUAACCUGCCCCCUUCUUUGGGAUAACGCCCGGAAACGGGUGCUAAUACUGGAUAUUCACUGGCCUUCGCAUGGGGGUUGGUGGAAAGGUUUUUUCUUGGUGGGGGAGUGGGCUCGCGGCCUAUCAGCUUGUUGGUGGGGUGAUGGCCU